UGCUUGCACCUUUCAAGCGAGUGGCGAACGGGUGAGUAACACGUGGAUAACCUGCCUCAAGGCUGGGGAUAACAUUUGGAAACAGAUGCUAAUACCGAAUAAAACUUAGUAUCGCAUGAUAUCAAGUUAAAAGGCGCUACGGCGUCACCUAGAGAUGGAUCCGCGGUGCAUUAGUUAGUUGGUGGGGUAAAGGCUUACCAAGACGAUGAUGCAUAGCCGAGUUGAGAGACUGAUCGGCCACAUUGGGACUGAGACACGGCCCAAACUCCUACGGGAGGCUGCAGUAGGGAAUCUUCCACAAUGGGCGCAAGCCUGAUGGAGCAACGCCGCGUGUGUGAUGAAGGCUUUCGGGUCGUAAAGCACUGUUGUAUGGGAAGAAAUGCUAAAAUAGGGAAUGAUUUUAGUUUGACGGUACCAUACCAGAAAGGGACGGCUAAAUACGUGCCAGCAGCCGCGGUAAUACGUAUGUCCCGAGCGUUAUCCGGAUUUAUUGGGCGUAAAGCGAGCGCAGACGGUUGAUUAAGUCUGAUGUGAAAGCCCGGAGCUCAACUCCGGAAUGGCAUUGGAAACUGGUUAACUUGAGUGUUGUAGAGGUAAGUGGAAAUCCAUGGGUAAGCCG
rnacentral:rRNA from 1 species